UUCAGAGGUCUCGAGCGUUGUUCGGAUUUACUGGGCGUAAAGGGAGCGUAGGCGGCCGGGUGUGUCGAAUGUGAAAGCCCACAACUCAACUGUGGAAUGGCAUUCGAAACUACCUGGCUAGAGUACUGGAGAGGAGAGCGGAAUUCUUGGUGUAGCGGUGAAAUGCGUAGAUAUCAAGAGGAACACCGGUGGCGAAGGCGGCUCUCUGGUCUGUAACUGACGCUGAGGCUCGAAAGCGUGGGGAGCAAACAGGAUUAGAUA
rnacentral:rRNA from 1 species